rnacentral:rRNA from 1 species
UACGUAGGGUCCGAGCGUUGUCCGGAAUUAUUGGGCGUAAAGGGUGCGUAGGCGGGUCUUUAAGUCAGGGGUGAAAUCCUGGAGCUCAACUCCAGAACUGCCUUUGAUACUGAGGAUCUUGAGUACGGGAGAGGUGAGUGGAACUGCGAGUGUAGAGGUGAAAUUCGUAGAUAUUCGCAAGAACACCAGUGGCGAAGGCGGCUCACUGGCCCGUAACUGACGCUGAGGCACGAAAGCGUGGGGAGCGAACAGG